AUUGAACGCUGGCGGCAUGCCUUACACAUGCAAGUCGAACGGCAGCACGGGAGCAAUCCUGGUGGCGAGUGGCGAACGGGUGAGUAAUAUAUCGGAACGUGCCCAGUCGUGGGGGAUAACGUAGCGAAAGCUACGCUAAUACCGCAUACGAUCUAUGGAUGAAAGCGGGGGAUCGCAAGACCUCGCGCGAUUGGAGCGGCCGAUAUCAGAUUAGGUAGUUGGUGAGGUAAAGGCUCACCAAGCCGACGAUCUGUAGCUGGUCUGAGAGGACGACCAGCCACACUGGGACUGAGACACGGCCCAGACUUCUACGGGAGGCAGCAGUGGGGAAUUUUGGACAAUGGGCGCAAGCCUGAUCCAGCAAUGCCGCGUGCAGGAUGAAGGCCUUCGGGUUGUAAACUGCUUUUGUACGGAGCGAAAAGGCUUCCACUAAUACUGGGGGCUCAUGACGGUACCGUAAGAAUAAGCACCGGCUAACUACGUGCCAGCCGCCGCCGUAACAC
rnacentral:rRNA from 1 species